UUUGUGGCGGCGUGUGUCUAAGUCCCUUGGAACAGGGCGCCAUUGAGGGUGAGAGCCCCGUGCGGCACGCGUCUAAGCUUUAAGACCCUUCUGACGAGUCGAGUUGUUUGGGAAUGCAGCUCUAAGUGGGUGGUAAAUUCCAUCUAAGGCUAAAUACUGGCGAGAGACCGAUAGCGAACAAGUACUGUGAAGGAAAGAUGAAAAGCACUUUGAAAAGAGAGUGAAACAGCACGUGAAAUUGUUGAAAGGGAAGGGUAUUGGGCUCGACAUGGGGACUGCGCACCGUUGCUUCUUGUAGGCGGCGCUCUGUGCGGUUUCUGGGCCAGCAUCAGUUUUUGCCGCGGGAGAAUGGGGGGAGGAACGUGGCUCUUCGGAGUGUUAUAGCCUCUCUCAGAUGCCGCGAGCGGGGACUGAGGUCUGCGAUUCGUUCAAGGAUGCUGGCACAACGGCGCAAUACCGCC
rnacentral:rRNA from 1 species